UCUAAAAUUUUGAAUUUUGUAUGUGUUUACCUCGACUGAAUCAUAUGGCACAACUAAAUUUGUCUAUAUGGGCUGACGCGUAUCGAUCCAUCUGUCCAGUUAGCAGGUACAAAGUACGAAGAGCAAAUGGCUCUAAAAUAACCAAGGUUACUAAACCUUCACGCGUCACUACCAUCGGGGCAGUUUCUGUGGCCGAGUGUGUCUUUGUUGUGCAGUGAACCGAUUUUUAGGUGGAGUUUAAGCCAAACAGACAGUUGUUCUAUUCUACGUAAUUUUUGCCGAGAUCAAACCCUAUUAAAGCAACCCAGAAUAUGCCCAAAACGACCACUAAAAGGUGGGCUGCGGAGUUCUAUAAUGGCAUUUCAGAACUGAAUGAUGCAAUUCGCUUCGAUGAGGCGUUCGAUUGAAUUAUCGACUUGAACUAAGGCCUUUUUGAAGGAAGACGGCCGACAAAGAGCGCGUGAACUGCAAUCAUAUGCUGAUCGACAAGCAUCUUGGAUUUAAGGGAUCUGUUUCAAAUUGAAAAGGAUAAAUCGAAUAACAAGCACAAACAAACAUUGCCUUUGAUUGUCGUUCAACACCUCGUCCUGCGCCGGACAACAUACAGGCAUCAUGACAGCCUUCUAGCAAUCAUUGUUUCCGUAGACCGAAAUGUUUUUAUAACAAUAUGAAGCACCGAAAGAAGCAGGUAGCGUCGCGAGGCAAGCUUAAAGUUAAACUAAAUCUUUUUCUUAGAAGGACCAUAAUUUGCGUUUGGUAGGACUAGGAGGACACACGAAGACAUUGUUGAAAAACAGAGGACAGUCAACAAGGAUGUAUGUAUAGCAGUGUCGUUUCGAUUGAAUCAGCCUAUCCCACAAGAGAGACGAAACACGUACAUCCCUCUACACGACAACCUCAGACCACACAUCGAAAUGGUCGCUAAAACCGCUCUUCAGAAGCUCGAGCAAGAGCCUUUUUUGCACUCACACAAUUCAUCACGUCUCGUGCUGACGGAUUCGUACCCUUUCUUAUUACAGCCCGAAGCAGACUUGCCUGUUGAGGUCCGAAAUACUGAGGGAGUAUCUAAUCUCUCCUUUAUAGCGUAUUUAAGCAACACUUGACGCACGAUGAUUAACAAAAUACUAACUGCGGAUUCAACAAAAAGUAUUUCGGUUUAAAUCCUUACCUAGAGCUGUACUUGUGGUGAAUGGUGGUUAUAUUAA